rnacentral:rRNA from 1 species
UACGUAGGGUGCAAGCGUUGUCCGGAAUUAUUGGGCGUAGAGCGUGUAGGCGGCCCGAUUAGUCCGCUGUGAAAGUCCAGGGCUCAACCCUGGAAUGCCGGUGGAUACUGUCGGGCUAGAGUCCGGAAGGGGCGAGUGGAAUUCCUGGUGUAGCGGUGAAAUGCGCAGAUAUCAGGAGGAACACCAAUGGCGAAGGCAGCUCGCUGGGACGUGACUGACGCUGAGACGCGAAAGCGUGGGGAGCAAACAGG